UCGAGGCUGUCGGUGUUCCUUGUUCUGAACGCCCGCCCUAUCGCCAUACAGUGGAUAAACCGCUCUCUGGUUAGGGUGGGACAGACUGCAAGGAGGCCCCGCCUGGCCCGGCCUCCGGGUAGAGGGCACUGCUCAGGGCGCAGAAACCUGUUGAAGCCACGGCAGCAAGCCUGUGAGGAAACUGCUAGGACCCCCAGGCGAGGAUGUAGGCAGGUGGAGAACGAGCCGGUUCAUCCAUGAAACUGUCCCAAGGGCUUACCGAGCCUGUGCACUUCUAAAUUGCACAGCGAACCCGAGGUGGAGACUUGGGGAGAGUACCAUACAAGCUGCCAGGAGGCUGGGACCUGGCGCCUGCUCUGGAGUCUAGCUUCCUUCUGAAAUACCCAGGAAGGUCAUAAGGGGAUCCCGUGCCCAUCCGCGGCUCCUCCUUCAGCUCACACUCAGAGGUGGACUUUGAACCCCAUUCCCCAGGCGUGGAUGUCCCCCUCCUCUUCUCCCUGACCCUUCCCUUGGUGCCCAUUUGCCCAAUCUUGCCAGCCCCCCCCCCCCAUUUCUCUGGUGCGGUUCUCCGUGCCUCCCCAGAUCCCUUCCUUUGGCUGAGGGAGACUUCCAAGGGCAGGGGGUUCCCAGUCGGGAUGGACUUGUUCUCCCCUCUUCUCUGUCUCCUACAGUUCUAUUUACAGCUUUUUCCCCAGAUGUCCUUGGCUCUUCUCUCUCCCUAAGAUGAUCCUGCUUUCACCAUCUCUUGGUUCACCUCCUCGUGUUCCCUGUACCUUCCGUCUUUCCCUCAACCUUCCGGCUCCUCCUAGCCGUGAACGAGCGGGUUUUGUGUGCCGGCCAUUGGGCACAGCUUGUUGUCAUCCUUGAUGUGUUUAAAACUCACUCUGCAGGUCUGCGAGGGAUAAAUAGUUCUCCGCUUUUGUCUGAAUUGUUCAAGGCCACGGAGCAACUCGUUAGAAUCGGAGCCACAGUCAGGAGAUCCAGCUAAACCUCGGCUGCUGUACGGGAUGGUUGUGGCACCUUGGAGACAGACCCAGGAGCCAAAGUCAUAGAACAGGCCAGGGUCUGGCCACCUGUGGACCUCCUGUCCAUGCCCAUAACCAAAGACCACCAGGAACAAAGUUGGAUUUACUGAUUUGUUGCCGACGACGUACGGGUAUAGCCGAGGAGUCCUGGGGCGUCUCAGUACGAAGGUGUCACAAGGGACUUAUAACAGAACUUGUGUUAAAAACCGUAGGGGGGGGGUGGAGUUUCGAGGAAGCGGGGGUUCAUUCUGGACUGCAUGCUUUCAGGAAGCAAGAUCCAUUCUGUGAUUGAGCAUCUCAAUUUUCAUAGAGAAGCUGAGACAAAGGCAGAGCUAAAACUGCGGUUGGUAACCAGACAGCCAUCGCUGGGGGGCGGGGAAUGUUGGGUGGUUUUUGUGGUUCGCACAGUGGCCUUCAUUUUGUCUGUGCUUGGACACAAGCGUGGAAUAGUCCUGUUUGGUCAGGCCUUGUCUGAUGGUGGCUAUCCAAGAGACUGGUUCUGUUCAGGCCUAGCUGUGAGCACCUGGCUGAUCAGAGCUAGCUGCCAGGGACUACUUUUCUCUUUCUCACCUCAAAGGCAAAGCCUUGACCUUCAAGGGCCAGCUGCCUGUCCAUCCUAGUCUCAUAUCUUCAUGUUGGGAUAAGGAUCAUCACACUGGAAAAGGAAGAGGGAUGGACAAGAACAGGGAGGGGAGUUUCCUGGGGGUGGGGGUGAAAUAGCAGCCUAGCUUAGGGUGUUCAUGGCUCUGUGACUUGAACGGAUCCAGGGUUCCCUUCCUCUAUUGGAGGAAGCUCUGAUAAAGAGGUGGGGGGAGGGCAGUAAAUGGCCAUUCUUAGUACAGAUAAUUCUCACUUAGAAACACGAUCCGUUCUCUUAGGAAACCUAGGUGGAGUGAUCAUACGUCCCAAUUUUCUGGUACACUCCUGCUCUCAAGUGUUACAACUACUCGAUUACUGUGGAUAUAGUUUUGCUACAUAUUUUAUAGAAUUCAGACUUUUUAGUGAAGGGAAUCCAUUACUUGUCUGACCCUAUGAGGAGCAGACAGCAAAAUGGAAUUCGAAGUGCAAGAGAUUUAUUAGGGGGAACACCUGUGAGGGAUCAAGGGUUUGAGGGAGCAGGAGCCGGCA